rnacentral:rRNA from 1 species
GCCAGACUCCUACGGGAGGCAGCAGUGAGGAAUAUUGGUCAAUGGGCGCGAGCCUGAACCAGCCAAGUCGCGUGAGGGAAGACGGUCCUAUGGAUUGUAAACCUCCUUUGUCGGGGAGCAAAAGACGCCACGUGUGGCGUUCCGAGAGUACCCGAAGAAAAAGCAUCGGCUAACUCCGUGCCAGCAGCCGCGGUAAUACGGAGGAUGCGAGCGUUAUCCGGAUUUAUUGGGUUUAAAGGGUGCGCAGGCGGUCUGUUAAGUCAGCGGUCAAAGGUCGGUGCUCAACACCGGCCUGCCGUUGAAACUGGUCUUCUUGAGUGAGCGAGAAGUAUGCGGAAUGCGUGGUGUAGCGGUGAAAUGCAUAGAUAUCACGCAGAACUCCGAUUGCGAAGGCAGCAUACCGGCGCUCAACUGACGCUGAGGCACGAAAGCGUGGGGAUCGAACAGGAUUAGAUACCCGAGUA